UACGAAGGGGGCGAGCGUUGUUCGGAAUUACUGGGCGUAAAGGGCGCGCAGGCGGCUCUGAAAGUCAGAUGUGAAAGCCCCGGGCUUAACCUGGGAAUUGCAUUUGAUACUCUGGAGCUUGAGUACGGGAGAGGAGAGUGGAAUUCCCAGUGUAGAGGUGAAAUUCGUAGAUAUUGGGAAGAACACCGGUGGCGAAGGCGGCUCUCUGGACCGUAACUGACGCUGAGGCGCGAAAGCGGUGGGGAGCAAACAGG
rnacentral:rRNA from 1 species